ACGGAGGAAAAGGAAACCAACAGGGAUUGCUCUAGUAACGGCGAGUGAAGCAGCAAUAGCUCAAAUUUGAAAUCUGGCGUCUUCGACGUCCGAGUUGUAAUUUGUAGAGGAUGCUUCUGAGUAACCACCGACCUAAGUUCCUUGGAACAGGACGUCAUAGAGGGUGAGAAUCCCGUAUGCGGUCGGAAAGGUGCUCUAUACGUAGCUCCUUCGACGAGUCGAGUUGUUUGGGAAUGCAGCUCUAAAUGGGAGGUAAAUUUCUUCUAAAGCUAAAUAUUGGCCAGAGACCGAUAGCGCACAAGUAGAGUGAUCGAAAGAUGAAAAGCACUUUGGAAAGAGAGUUAAAAAGCACGUGAAAUUGUUAAAAGGGAAGGGAUUGCAACCAGACUUGCUCGCGGUGUUCCGCCGGUCUUCUGACCGGUCUACUCGCCGCGUUGCAGGCCAGCAUCGUCUGGUGCCGCUGGAUAAGACUUGAGGAAUGUAGCUCCCUCGGGAGUGUUAUAGCCUCUUGUGAUGCAGCGAGCGCCGGGCGAGGUCCGCGCUUCGGCUAGGAUGCUGGCGUAAUGGUCGUAAUCCGCCCGUCU
rnacentral:rRNA from 1 species